UACAGAGGGGGCAAGCGUUGUUCGGAAUUACUGGGCGUAAAGGGCGCGUAGGCGGCCUGCUAAGUCGAACGUGAAAUCCCCGGGCUCAACCCGGGAACUGCGUCCGAUACUGGCAGGCUUGAAUCCGGGAGAGGGAUGUGGAAUUCCAGGUGUAGCGGUGAAAUGCGUAGAUAUCUGGAGGAACACCGGUGGCGAAGGCGGCAUCCUGGACCGGUAUUGACGCUAAGGCGCGAAAGCCAGGGGAGCAAACGGG
rnacentral:rRNA from 1 species